rnacentral:rRNA from 1 species
GAUGAACGCUGGCGGCGUGCCUAAUACAUGCAAGUCGAACGGAAAGGCGCGGCUCUUGCGGGGCGCAUGUGAGGCGAAGGGGGGAGUAAAACGUGAGUAACCCGCCCCUGACUGAGGGAUAACACCAGGAAAAAGGGGCUAAAACCGGAUAUGAUCUUCUGCAGCACGGUGGGGGAUGGAAAGUUACGGCGGUGCGGGCUGGACUCGAGGCUUACCAGCUUGAUGGUCAGGUAGUUACGUACCAAGGCUUCGACGGAUAGCCGGCCUGAGAGGGUGACCGGCCUCAUUGCGCCUGAGGUACGGCCCAGACUCCUACGUGCCGCAGCGGUGGAGAGUAUUACGCAGUGGGCGGGAGCCUGAUACGGCGGCGCCGCGUGCGGAAUGACGGCCUUCGAGUUGUGAACCGAUUUCGCCUGUGCCGUAGCGUGAGUGACGGUAAUGGGUAAAAAAGCACCGGCUAACUACGUG